AGAGUUUGAUCCUGGCUCAGGACGAACGCUGGUGGCGUGCUUAACACAUGCAAGUCGAACGGUGAAGCCCAGCUUGCUGGGUGGAUCAGUGGCGAACGGGUGAGUAACACGUGAGCAACCUGCCCUCCACUUCGGGAUAAGCCUUGGAAACGGGGUCUAAUACCGGAUAUGAGCGCCUGCCGCAUGGUGGGUGUUGGAAAGUUUUUCGGUGGGGGAUGGGCUCGCGGCCUAUCAGCUUGUUGGUGGGGUAAUGGCCUACCAAGGCGUCGACGGGUAGCCGGCCUGAGAGGGCGACCGGCCACACUGGGACUGAGACACGGCCCAGACUCCUACGGGAGGCAGCAGUGGGGAAUAUUGCACAAUGGGCGAAAGCCUGAUGCAGCGACGCCACGUGAGGGAUGACGGCCUUCGGGUUGUAAACCUCUUUCAGCAGGGAAGAAGCGCAAGUGACGGUACCUGCAGAAGAAGCGCCGGCUAACUACGUGCCAGCAGCCGCGGUAAUACGUAGGGCGCAAGCGUUGUCCGGAAUUAUUGGGCGUAAAGAGCUCGUAGGCGGUCUGUCGCGUCUGGUGUGAAAUCCCAUGGCUCAACUGUGGGCUUGCAUCGGGUACGGGCAGACUAGAGUGCUGUAGGGGAGACUGGAAUUCCUGGUGUAGCGGUGGAAUGCGCAGAUAUCAGGAGGAACACCGAUGGCGAAGGCAGGUCUCUGGGCAGUUACUGACGCUGAGGAGCGAAAGCAUGGGGAGCGAACAGGAUUAGAUACUCUGGUAGUCCAUGCCGUAAACGUUGGGCACUAGGUGUGGGGCCAGUUCCACUGGUUCUGUGCCGCAGCUAACGCAUUAAGUGCCCCGCCUGGGGAGUACGGCCGCAAGGCUAAAACUCAAAGGAAUUGACGGGGGCCCGCACAAGCGCGAGCAUGCGAUUAAUUCGAUGCAACGCGAAGAACCUUACCAAGGCUUGACAUGUACGAGAAAGCCCCAGAGAUGGGGUUCUCUUUGGACACUCGUACACAGGUGGUGCAUGGUUGUCGUCAGCUCGUGUCGUGAGAUGUUGGGUUAAGUCCCGCAACGAGCGCAACCCUUAUCCUAUGUUGCCAGCGGGUUAUGCCGGGGACUCAUGGGAGACUGCCGGGGUCAACUCGGAGGAAGGUGGGGAUGACGUCAAAUCAUCAUGCCCCUUAUGUCUUGGGCUUCACGCAUGCUACAAUGGCCGGUACAGAGGGCUGCGAUACCGUGAGGUGGAGCGAAUCCCAAAAAGCCGGUCUCAGUUCGGAUCGGGGUCUGCAACUCGACCCCGUGAAGUCGGAGUCGCUAGUAAUCGCAGAUCAGCAACGCUGCGGUGAAUACGUUCCCGGGCCUUGUACACACCGCCCGUCAAGUCACGAAAGUUGGUAACACCCGAAGCUCACGGCCCAACCCUCGGGAGGGAGUGGUCGAAGGUGGGACUGGCGAUUGGGACUAAGUCGUAACAAGGUAGCCGUAG
rnacentral:rRNA from 1 species